rnacentral:tRNA from 1 species
GGGUGUAUAGCUCAGUGGUAGAGUGCAUGCCCGGCAUGCAUGAGGCCUCAGGCUCAAUUCUCAGUAUCUCCU